rnacentral:rRNA from 1 species
UACGGGGGGGGGCAAGCGUUGUUCGGAAUUACUGGGCGUAAAGGCUCGUAGGUGGCCAACUAAGUCAGACGUGAAAUCCCUCAGCUUAACUGGGGAACUGCGUCUGAUACUGGAUGGCUUGAGUUUGGGAGAGGGAUGCGGAAUUCCAGGUGUAGAGGUGAAAAUUCGUAGAUAUCAGGUGGAACACCAGUGGCGAAGGCGGCUUUCUGGACGGUAACUGACGCUGGAGACGCGAAAGCGUGGGGAGCAAACAGG